rnacentral:lncRNA from 1 species
UGGCAGAAGCGGUGAGUCUUCUCCUGACCCCUUUCCCCUCCUCCUCAAUGGACCCCUUCCUUUUCCCCACCUCUUGUGUUUGUGUUAGGGGGUUACAGAGAGUUGUACCGCGAAACUGACUUCACAUCACUCUCCUUUCUAAUGGGAGUUAACAGGGUUCUUGAAGAGGAACAGCAAGCACUGUGUUAGGCUAAUGCCCUUGGGACCCAGGCAUCUUCCUGUCCUAAAACUUUGUAACGGGUUGGGAAAAUAAAAGUAGAAGACGUAAGAGGCACACAUUUCUGAGCCUCUUCCGGACAACUUAAGAUGACUGACAUCUGAUGCCUUCCUCUGCAUCGAUCUCCAAAGCAGAAGAAAUUUUCCCUGGUCUACAAGAACAUGAACACAAGUUUUGAGAGUGGGAGGAGAGCACCAAGGAGUGGGACUUGAAAAUUGCUACAAAUAUUAUAGAAAUUAAACUUAGUAUUUUCUUCUUAGUCUUUUGACCGUACCAGAAACUAAUACCACUAUAUGAUGUUCAGUUUCUACCUGCUAUUUCCUUUUCCUGGUCUUCUGUAUCAUCAGAAAGUGAAACGUUAAAGUAGUUAAGACAGAAAAACUGUAUUAAAGUUACCAUUUCUUAGACUGUUUUAAUAUCAUUCACAAAUCCUAUGGAGACUACAGGCAAAGUAAUUUCUGCAGACAUCAUUUCAAGAAAAGUUUAGUGGAGGGAUGGAGUUAUAGCUCAGUGGCAGAGCACUUGCCUAGCAUGUGUGAGGCACUGGGCUCCAUCCUUAGCACCAGAUAAAAAUGAACAAAUCAAAUAAAGGCAUUUUGUCCAUAUACAACUACAAAAAAUUAAUUUAGAAAAGUUGAGUGGAUCCCCAAAAUCAGGAAAAAAAAUCAAUGGAAUUACAAGGAUAAUUUCACAAAGGUAAAGUGACCUAAAGAGUCUGAGAUGUUGAAGUUUUCCAGUUGGACUAACUAUGCCGGCAGAAAUAAAGUUAACUGUUGAAUUCAAAUAUGAAGUUGUUCUACUAUUGAGUAUUAUUUUACUGUGGUGUUAAAACAACCCUCUUAAUAAUAGUAGUAAUUUACUAUAUAGAUAACAGAUAAAAAUAUAUUCAAAAUAUUUAUCUCACUGGUUUUGAUCAUUUUAGUAGAUUGGCUCUGUUUUUAAUAUUUUAAAUAUGAUUUCUAGAACCAUACUUAAUUCAAACUAAUAAAAUCACUUAACAUGCUUAUGAGAAAAUGGAGGACUUCAUCCCGGCAUAUAAUGUCUUUAAAAAAAUGUCAAAAUAAGGUGAAAUAUUGUCUCUUAUGAAAAGAGGAUAAUGUCAGAAAACUUAAAAUCUAAAACCUUCUGACCCCUUAACUCAGGACAUAGGCUUUUAUGUGAGUAUAUUCUACUCUUUGUAAGCAGACAUAUUGAUCUAGGACUCUGUGCACUUUUCCAUCUGAUUCCUCCAUUAUACAAGUUUAGUUAUGUGUUACCUUGAGGCUCAAUACUACAUUUAUUGAAAAUGCCAGAUUUUGAUUAGUCCACAAUUUGUCCAGGAAUCUUGCCACUUGUAAAAAUGUCAUACUUGGGCAGAAUACCCUCCAGAAAAACAUUUAUUUUUAGACUCUGGCUGAUCUUACUCAGUGUACUUUUGGGAAAAGCACUAUAUAGAUCAUUCAAUAUACUGAAGACUUCCCAGAUACUGCAUCUUUUCUCAUUUGAUAUGACUGGAAGAUGAUGCUUCCAUUUCUUCCAAGUAUCAAAGUAUUCAUAAUCAAACACUGUUUUGGUGCAUAGGUUCUAG